AUUGAACGCUGGCGGCAGGCCUAACACAUGCAAGUCGAGCGGAGGAAGGGAGCUUGCUCCUGGAUUCAGCGGCGGACGGGUGAGUAAUGCCUAGGAAUCUGCCUGGUAGUGGGGGAUAACGUCCGGAAACGGGCGCUAAUACCGCAUACGUCCUGAGGGAGAAAGUGGGGGAUCUUCGGACCUCACGCUAUCAGAUGAGCCUAGGUCGGAUUAGCUAGUUGGUGGGGUAAAGGCCUACCAAGGCGACGAUCCGUAACUGGUCUGAGAGGAUGAUCAGUCACACUGGAACUGAGACACGGUCCAGACUCCUACGGGAGGCAGCAGUGGGGAAUAUUGGGCAAUGGGCGAAAGCCUUAUCCAGCCAUGCCGCGUGUGUGAAGAAGGUCUUCGGAUUGUAAAGCACUUUAAGUUGGGAGGAAGGGCAGUAAGUUAAUACCUUGCUGUUUUGACGUUACCAACAGAAUAAGCACCGGCUAACUUCGUG
rnacentral:rRNA from 1 species